GAUGAAGAACGUAGCGAAAUGCGAUAAGUAGUGUGAAUUGCAGAAUUCCGUGAAUCAUCGAAUCUUUGAACGCACAUUGCGCCCCCUGGCAUUCCGGGGGGCAUGCCUGUUCGAGCGUCAUUACAACCCUCAAGCUCUGCUUGGUAUUGGGCUCUGCUGGGACCGGCAGGCCUUAAAAUCAGUGGCGGCGCCACUCGGCUUCAAGCGUAGUAAUUCUUCUCGCUUCGGAGACCCGGGUGCGUGCUAGCCAGCAACCCCCAACUUUCUUAGGUUGACCUCGGAUCAGGUAGGGAUACCCGCUGAACUUAAGCAUAUCAAUAAGCGGAGGA
rnacentral:misc_RNA from 1 species